rnacentral:rRNA from 1 species
CGGGCGUCUGAAAGGUGAGCGGUACGACUAGAAAUGUCCGUGGCGGUUUCCGAGGUGAGGGGAAGGUAAAUCCACCCUUAUAGCCGAGGAUUCAACCUGAGAGCAUAUAAGUUCUCGAAAUCAUCCGAAGGACGUCCAAGAAAAUCUUCUAAGGGCUAAAGCUCAAUUGACCGUACUAAAACUGACACAGGUAGGCGAGACGAGUAGUCUCAGGCGCUCGGGAGAACGGUGGUUAAGGAACUCUGCAAAUUCACCCCGUAAGUUCGCGAUAAGGGGUGCCCCCUGGGGUUCACGCUUUGGGGGGCCACAGAGAAUCGGCUCUAGCGACUGUUUAUCAAAAACACAGGACUCUGCUAACUCGCAAGAGGAUGUAUAGAGUCUGACGCCUGCCCGGUGCCGGUAGGUUAAGGAAGAGGGUUAGCCGCAAGGCGAAGCUCGCAACCGAAGCCCCGGUAAACGGCGGCCGUAACUAUGACGGUCCUGAGGUAGCGAAGUUCCUUGUCGGGUAAGUUCCGACCUGCAUGAAUGGCGUAACGACUGGAGCACUGUCUCAACCACCGACCCGGUGAAAUUGUAGCCGUGGUGAAGAUGCCACGUACCCGCGGUUAGACGGAAAGACCCCAUGAACCUUUACUGUAGGCUGAUAUUGGUCUGAGGUACAUUUUGUGUAGGAUAGGUGGGAGGCUGCGAAGUUGCGGCGCAAGCCGUGAUGGAGCCAACGUUGAAAUACCACCCUGAAUGUGCUUUAGUUCUAACUCUGAUCCUGUGAAACCAGGCAGAGGACAGUGUCAGUUGGGCAGUUUGACUGGGGCGGUCUCCUCCAAAAGAGUAACGGAGGAGUGCAAAGGUACCCUCAGCCUGGUUGGUAAUCAGGCGUCUAGCGCAAGGGUAAAAGGGUGCUUAACUGCGAGACUAAUAAGUCGAGCAGAUACGAAAGUAGGUCCUAGUGAUCCGGUGAUUCCGUAUGGAAGGGUCAUCGCUCAUCAGAUAAAAGGUACUCUGGGGAUAACAGGCUUAUCGCUACCGAGCGUCCAUAGCGGCGUAGCGGUUUGGCACCUCGAUGUCGGCUCAUCACAUCCUGGGGGUGAAGAAGCUCCCAAGGGUUUGGCUGUUCGCCAAUGAAAGUGGUACGUGAGCUGGGUUCAGACCGUCGUGAGACAGGUCGGUCCCUAUCUGCCGUGGGCGUACGAAGCUUGAGGAGAUUCUUCUUUAGUACGAGAGGAUUUAGAAGGACGUAGCUCUGGUUUACCAGUUGUCACGCUAGUGGCACGGCUGGGUAGCUAACUACGGAACGGAUAAACGCUGAAAGCAUCUAAGCGUGAAGCCUGCUCCAAGAUUAGGUUUCGUAAGAACAUUAGUUCGAAAGUCCCCAGGAAGACUACCUGGUUGAUAGGCCGGAUGUGUAAGUCCAGUAAUGGAUUAAGCUAACCGGUACUAACGGACGAAAGCUUGGCCAC